rnacentral:rRNA from 1 species
GGGUUUAUCCGUUGGUCGGGCUUUUGGGUCUGUACUGGCGCGAUGAAUUCCUACCUUCUGAAUAACCAGCAUGUCAUUAAUUUGGUGUUUUGGGGAAUUUGGACUGUUACUUUGAAAAAAUUAGAGUGUUUAAAGCAAGCUAACGCUUGAAUACAUUAGCAUGGAAUAAUGAAAUAGGACGUUCGAUCCUAUUUUGUUGGUUUCUAGGAUUGACGUA